GGCGCGGAUCGAGCAUGGAGUUGCAGCGUGCAAAGAGCUAAACCUAGAGCUCUGAUACCAUGUUGUGAAUGAGCUACUAGUAUUCACAGAGGACCAUAGGCCAGUACAUGUACAUGUGUGACAAUGUGCAGGUAAACCCCUCAUACACUGGAGAAUAACAGAAAAGGGACUAUAGAACUCUAACACUAAUCACGUGGCCGACCGCGUGCGGAGUCGUGGUAAUAUUUUGUCUUUCACCGGCACAAAGUAUCUGGAUUCAGCAUCUCUGUACCUCUAUACAUAGCACCUCACAGCUCUCCUGGAAAGUCCACGCGCUUCUCUGAUAUCUUUGCUGGCCUCCAGAUUCAGAUUUCAGUAACUAGCGAUCGAUCUGAAGCUCGAUCCGGCACCAUCGAUCUGAAGCUCGACCCGCCCGCGUGAACGGUGAACCCUGUAUCAGGGGAAUGCUUGGGAAUGGGAUGGUCGCCGUAAACAUGUUCAAUGAAACGCUCGAUAUUCUUGAGAACAAAUACAAUGAAGAGGUCGGUUGCUUAAUGAAGACGAAGCACAAGAAUUUAGUGUGUUUUCUAGGUUCUCGGACAAGAGGAAUAAUUGUAGACUACGAGGGAGCAUCUUCUAUACUUGUAUGGAGAAAGUGUCAUGAAGUAAUCAAGAGAAUUUGUGAGGGUUUAUAUCAUCUGCAUGUGAAGCAGCGUAAUGUCCACUUGAAUCUGAAACCAGGGAACAUAUUGUUGGAUGAUAAUAUGGUACCAAAAAUCGCUAACUUUGGACUACAUUUCAAGUUAGACAUAUACAGCUUGGGUGUUAUAAUCAUAAAGAUACUAUCAGGGGUUGCCUGAUUGGUUGUCUAAUGAAGGCGAAGCACAAAAACAUAGUACGAUUUUUGGGAUAUUGUGCUGACACACAAGAGAUAAUUAAAGUUAGUUAUGACUUUUAUAUCAAAGAGGUUGCUCUGUUUCGAGUAUCUACCUAAAGGAAGCCUUGAUAAGUAUAUUAUUGGUAUAUCUUCUGAAUCGGCGUAUUUUCCACUCAGACCGUACACCUGCAAACAUACUGUUAGAUGAGAAUAUGGUACCAAAAAUUACUGAUUUUGGUCUCUCAAGAUGCUUUGAUGAAAAGUAAAGCCAGGCUUAUACUUGAAAUUCAAAAGAAACCUUGUAAGCUAUUAAUGAAUUCUAGCAAUCACUAUAGGAAUGGUGACAGACGCCGACGGCCAGAGUGUACGCCGACGGCCAAAUGUCGGGGACGUCGGCGUACGGCCUCGCCGGGCCAGCUCGAGACGCCGACCGUCGGCGUAUACAUACCGUCGGCGUACAUGUUCCUACGCCGAGGGCUGCCCUCGGCGUAUACCUGGCCCUCGGCGUAGGCAAUAGCAUCGUGCAUGUUCCAGCGGCGGCGUGACGGCCCUCUCACGGCGUCACACAGAGGCCGACGGCCACCCUCGGCAUAGGGCAUGGCCCCCCUAUGCCGACGGCCACCCUCGGCGUAUACGGUUUUUUUUUUCUUUUUUUCACUCUCAUAUUACUUUAUAUUAUGUUUCUAUUAUGUAUUUACUAGUAUGAAUUAUGUAAAAAAGGUUCUAUUUUUUAAGAAUUUGUAGAUGGCAUAUAUGUAGGUCCCACGGGUGACGCUCUUCGCAGACGGGUCAACCGGAGCCACUAGGCCCAACUUCUGCUAUCGAUGUACAUAUGUCCUUAAACAUUUAGGAAAAAUUCCAUUG